rnacentral:rRNA from 1 species
UACGUAGGGGGCUAGCGUUGUCCGGAUUUAUUGGGCGUAAAGAGCGUGUAGGCGGCCAGGUAGGUCUGCUGUGAAAACUCGAGGCUCAACCUCGAGACGUCGGCGGAAACCAUCUGGCUAGAGUCCGGAAGAGGAGAGUGGAAUUCCUGGUGUAGCGGUGAAAUGCGCAGAUAUCAGGAGGAACACCGGCGGUGUAGACGGCUCUCUGGACCGUAACUGACGCUGAGAUACGAAAGCGUGGGUAGCAAACAGG